rnacentral:rRNA from 1 species
ACUCCUACGGGAGGCAGCAGUGGGGAAUAUUGCACAAUGGGCGCAAGCCUGAUGCAGCCAUGCCGCGUGUAUGAAGAAGGCCUUCGGGUUGUAAAGUACUUUCAGCAGUGAGGAAGGCGGAGUCGUUAAUAGCGGCCUCGUUUGACGUUAGCUGCAGAAGAAGCACCGGCUAACUCCGUGCCAGCAGCCGCGGUAAUACGGAGGGUGCGAGCGUUAAUCGGAAUUACUGGGCGUAAAGCGCAUGCAGGUGGUUCGUUAAGUCAGAUGUGAAAGCCCGGGGCUCAACCUCGGAAUUGCAUUUGAAACUGGCAGACUAGAGUACUGUAGAGGGGGGUAGAAUUUCAGGUGUAGCGGUGAAAUGCGUAGAGAUCUGAAGGAAUACCGGUGGCGAAGGCGGCCCCCUGGACAGAUACUGACACUCAGAUGCGAAAGCGUGGGGAGCAAACAGGAUUAGAUACCCCUGGUAGCACAGAG